CAAGUGAUCCACUCGUCUCAGCUUCCCAAAGUGCUAAGAUUACAGGUGUAAGCCACUGCGCCUGGCCAAAAGCAUUUCUUUAAAGACAUCAUGGUAUCUUUGUAUACUGAAAGAAAUUAGAGCCCCACCCCUCUUCAUUUCUGUAACUCAUAAGGAAAAGAAGAAUAUCAACUCUUGUGGAAAAUAAUUCAAAUAUUUCAGCAUAUUCUUUUACAGCCUCACUUUCAAUUAUCUUAUUAAACACCCUUUCAACAUCUUUUUCUGAAGAACUCUCCUCCCAAAUUUUACAUCUUAUUAAAUAGUAGGUGUUUAUUUAAACACAGAUAUUUGGUAAACAUUGAUUCCUUAAUUCGGCAACUAAGAACCUAUUAUGUGCCACAAAAAUACUGGUAGUGAAGCAAUGAAUGAAAAGUACCUCCUCUCAUGGAAUUUGCAACCUAGUGAACAAAGAGAGAGAAGAGAAAGCAGGUUGAGGGGCAUAAUGAGUGUCAGAGGUUGGAGAGGAAGGGAGCUUGCUAUUUUAUGAGUGACUAGGGAAGGGAUCACUGGUCAAAUUACAUCUGAGCAGACCCUGGAAGGAAGUGACAGAGUGAGCCAUGUAUUCAAAGGGAACAGCUCUCUAGGCAGAAGGACUAGCAAGUGCAAAUCCCUGAAGCAGGAACAUACUUGUUUUGUUCAAGGAACAGUAUGAGGCCAAUGCAGCUGCAACACAUUAAACAUAAAGAAUUAAGAAAUGAAGUCAGAGAAGUUGGAGGUGGGGGGAGGCAGGUCAUGUAGAAGGAACAUAAUCUGACUUUUUUUUUUUUUUAAUGAUGCUGCCUACUAGUUUGAGAGUAGACUGUGGCAGGGAAACCAGUUAGAGUGCUAGCAGAGUAAUCUAGGCAAGGGGUGGACCAUUUUAAUAAAGCUAGAAGUUGUGGGAAGUGGUCACAUUCUGUAACUAAUUUGAAGACAAAGCCACCAAAAUAUGCUGGUUGAUUAUAUAUGGGGUGUAAAAGAAUGAGAAGGAUCAAGGAUGUGUCCUAGGCCUGAGCAACUGAAACAAUAGGAAUUGAUGGGAAGAGCUGAGAGGUGAGGUUUGGGGUGAAGAGUCAGGAGAUCAGUAAUGGGCAACCUUCAGUUUAAAAGUGAUACAAUGAUAGAGGAAGAGAGGGCAUGCCGCUGAAUUUGCCAGUUUGGAAAUCAGGAGAGAGGUCCAGACUGGGGAUAGAGAGUUCUGCGUCAAGUAUGAAUAGUAUUUAAAUAGAAACUGGUUGAGAUCACCUAACGAAUGUAAGCAGGAAAAGAACAGAAAGGAAGGACAGAGCAGAGUUGACGAACCAAGACUUGGAGCAGCCCAAAUUUUAGAGAUUGGGGAGAUGAGAAGAAACUAGCAAAUGAGCAGAGAAGAAACAGCCAGUGACAGAGGAGAACCUAGAGAAAGCUGUGUCUUUGCUGUCGAAUAAACUGUUCCAAGGAGGCAGUGAUCAAUGGCAUCACAUACAGUCAUAAGUGAAGGAAGCUGAGGACUGAAAAUAGACCUUUGGACAUAAAUUGACAAGAACUGUUUUAGUGGCAUGUGGCAAAUGGUAGCCUCACUAGAGUUGAUUUAAAAGAGAAUAAAUGGGAAGAGGGGAAUUGAAUACAAAUCCAUUUUUGUAAGGGUUUGUUGUAAAGUAGAACAGAGAAAUGGAGUAGUAGCUGCAAGGAAAUGUAAGGGCAAGACAAAGUUUUGCUUUUAAUUUUUUUUAAGAUAGAAGAUAAUUACAAUUCAUUUUUAUGCCCAUAGUAAUGACCCAGUACAGGGAAAGAACACAGAUGUUGGGGAAGAAAGCGGACAAUUGUUAGAUUGAAGUUUUGAAUAAGUAAGUAAGAUGAGAGGAUUGUGUGAGGUAUAAGCACAGAGAAAGGCAGAGCAUGUGAAUUGUUAGUGGAUGUUGUGGUGGGAAUCUAGAAGUUCUCUUCCUGCUGCUUCUGUGUUCUCAAUGAGGUAGAAGCAAGGUCAUCAGCUACAAGAGGAUAGGGUGGAUGUACUGAAAGUUUUUUUUUUAAAUGAAGUACACACUUAUUUUAUAUGAAAUGUAUUAUGAGAUAACCAGUGAAAACUAUCUCUUACCGUAGCAAAUUUAAAAUGUUUAGUUUAGCACUUGAUGUACAGUAGAUGUCAAAAAAAUGUUUUACUGUAAAACAAAAUCGGGAUCACAUUUUCACUUAGAUUUGUGAAAUGAAAAUCCAUUAUUUCAUCCAAAACAAUUCUAUAUAACUUUAGAAUUUCUGGAGAAAUGUGUGUAUGAGAUGGGGAGACCUUUAAAAAUAAGAAGUUGGGUUGCGGAGAGUCAGAUGUGUUAUUCACCAUUACUCUCUACAUGGAUUAAAUUUAUUAGAUGACUAAUCAUAAGCAAAGAUUGUCGGCAGAACAGAGUGUGAGAAGAUCAUUUCAUCCUAUUAUUCAGCUCUCUCUUUAGGCUGAUCUCACACUCUAGUGAGGGAAGCUUCAGCAAGUUUUAUGUUGAGUUUCAUUAGUGCACAGAAUAAAGCCUGUUGUAUAUUAUUGCUUUUAAGCAAAACAAAUUAAAAUGUCUUAGCCCAGAUCAUUCUCCCAGCAUCAUCUAAUAUAAACACCCAGAAACAACUGCUGGUGAAAUCCCACAAUCUCAUCUUCACUCUGGGUUAUGAGAUGGGAAUUAGCAAUGUAACAAAAAACAUUUAAACUGGCCCCUCAAAUGUCUUUCCCUCAGAGUUCAAGGAAGUGACUUCACAAUUUAACAGAGUGUAAGAAAACUCCAACUGUAAAAAAUACUGAAUUUUGCAUCUAUUGGGAAGUAAAUGCAGAAAAUUAGUGUUGUCAUUUCCCCUUCUCAUUUACCAGUUCCCGGUGUAGUAUAUGUUUGCAAAAAAAAAUAGUAACAGCCAGAUAAAGCAGACUGUAAACCACCAAAUAACCUCUAGAAAUUUCUUUACAGUGUUGUCCUUUCAAUAUAUUAUAGCUUUUCAAUUGCUGGAUAAGUGACUUCUAACUAGAAAUAACUCAUAUUUAAUUACGUUAACAUUUUAACUUUUGAAUUUGGGAUUCACAAAUUGUGUAAAAUUACAUACGUAUAUGCAUCAUUUGCUUUUUUUUUUUAAUCAAACAACAAUGAUGUAUCUAACCAGGUGGUAAAGAAAUCAAGUCACAGGUCCAAAAUCAUAUUUGUUAGUAUGCAGCAUUUUUGCGCGGCUAAUAUUAAGCAGUGUUAAAAUCGUAAUUCAGAAAAUAUGUAGUUUUUCAAUUAUUUUCUUAUAAAUUAUUUUUAUAGUUGAAAUACUGCAUUAUUUGGUUAUUUAUAGGUGACAACCAUCUCUCAGUAUAAUAGAUUCCUUUUCUCAUAGAAAAAUUAGCUAGUAGUUCUUGUUAAAUUGGCACUGUAGUUCAGACCUACGGAUUAACUUGUGCAAUUGUAAACAUGAAAUGUCUCUAAAAUAGACUGCUUUGUGUUGAAGCCUAGAAAUUAUUUCAGUUCCUUUUAAAAGAUCAUUGCUCCGGAUAAUAAUGCACAAAUUGAGAUGUUGGGAAUCUAGUUUACCUUUUUGUUCUUCAAAGUGUUAGGCAAAAGUAUUGUUUGAUUGUUUUAAUUUUGACUGUUGGCAGUUCAAACAGCAGUUAGGGAAAAGAAGCAACACCACAGUGGUUAAAAGCAUAUGCUCUGGCAUCCACAUUCUUACAUUCAAAUCAUGACUGCACUAUCAGCAGUAAGAAGGUCAGAAAGAGUAGAAAGCUCUAUGUAAACAUUUGAUAAACAUAGUUUGUUGUUAGAGCAACAGUUCUUUACAUCUUUGGAAGCUGCUAUCAGUUUCAUGUAAUCAUCAACUGGAUAAAACAGUAUUGCUAUCCUCUGAGUUUUGGAACUUCUUGUGAAAUGGGACCAGGAAGCUAAGAGAUGGGUAGUGACAGUAAUAUGUUUGUGCUGGCUUCUAGUGGCUUGCAAGAAUUUUGUGAGCCAAUUGUCAAACAUAGUCAUUAUUAAUAAUUAAAAUAUUUAAGCUGAAAAUUGUAUUAUAUUAAAAAAAUGAUAAUAAAUAUUUUAAAAACAAACCACUUCCUGAUUAUUUUCCUACAUUUUACUAUUGUCUUUGGGAAUUGUAUUGUAUCUGGGAAUACCAUGGUGUAUUACUAUGCGUUUCUUCCCAUCUCUGUAUUCCGUGACAUCACAUUGGUAGCUCGAAUCAGUUUCGGUACAGUAUUUACACUAUGAAACUGAGCAAAUGUUGCAAAUCAAGGUUUGCCCUCACCCCUAAGAGCUGUUUGUUAAACUUUUACUUACCAUUACACUACUGGAUCAGGGUCAGAGUGUCCCACUAGUUCCUGUUAUUCUUUUGCUGAAUGUUAUCAUGAGUAAAACAGAGACUACGUUGAGGAAAGGAUUGUUAAAAAAAAAAAAAAAA